AGAGAGAGACAUGCGCGCAUAUCAAUAAGCGGAGGAAAAGAAACUAACUAGGAUUCCCUCAGUAACGGCGAGUGAAGCGGGAAGAGCUCAAAUUUGAAAUCUUCAAGGUUCUACCUUGACGAAUUGUAGUUUAAAGAAGUGUUUUCUGUUGGAGUUUUGGUAAAAGUUCUUUGGAAUAGGACAUCAUAGAGGGUGAGAAUCCCGUAUUUGACCAUUAUUUCCAGCUUUGUGAUACACUUUCAAAGAGUCGGAUUGUUUGGGAAUGCAGUCCAAAAUGGGUGGUAAAUUUCAUCUAAAGCUAAAUAUUGGCGAGAGACCGAUAGCGAACAAGUACCGUGAAGGGAAAGAUGAAAAGAACUUUGAAAAGAGAGUUAAACAGUACGUGAAAUUGUCAAAAGGGAAGCGUUUGAUACCAGUGUUGUUUUCUCGAAAAUCAAUUAAAAAAGGCAGGAUUUUGUGUUGUAUUGACUUUAUCAGCUUUCUGCACUCUUUUCUUGUCUUUUUUAAUGCACUUUUCGUUUAACAAGUCAACAUCAAUUUCUUUUGUUGUAAAAGGGUCAUUGGAAGGUGGCUUUCUUUUCGGAGAAAGUGUUUAUAGCCUUUGGCCUCUGCAAUCGGAGAGAUUGAGGUCUGCAGCGUAGAUCCUUCGGGGUUAGAUACAUUUGUGCUAAGUUAUAGCCUUUCAUAGACAACUUGUUGACUAUGAUCAGUCAUGUAGCUUACUCGCUUAUGCUAUUUUACCUACGCUUAGGAUGUUGAUGUGAUACUGCGAGCA
rnacentral:rRNA from 1 species